CCCUUAGAUGUUCUGGGCCGCACGCGUGCUACACUGAGUAAUUCAAUGGGUAAGGGAACGCUAGAGCAUUACCUAAUCUUGAAAUUUGCUCGUGAUGGGGAUCGACGGUUGCAAUUUUCCGUCGUGAACGAGGAAUACCUUGUAGGCGCAUGUCAUCAUCAUGCGCCGAAUACGUCCCUGCCCUUUGUACACACCGCCCGUCGCUCCUACCGAUUGAGUGAUCCGGUGAGGCUCUGGGACCUGGACGGAAAGAGCGCUUCGCUUGUUCUGUUUGGGAAACUUGGUCGAACCUUAUCAUUGAGAGGAAGGAGAAGUCGUAACA
rnacentral:rRNA from 1 species